GGAUUAAUGAGUUACCACGGGAGUGGGUCUGGUGGCUUUAUAAGAGGAAGAGAGACCUGAGCUAGCAUGCUCGGCCCCCUCAUCCCCUGUCCUACCUUGGGACUCUGCAGAGUCCUUGCCAGCAAGAAGGCUCUCACCUGUUAUGGCCCUGGACCUUGGACUUCUCAGCCUCCAUAACUCAGAAGCAAUGUAUGGGAGACUGAGUAAUCAGAUAUAAGCUCACAUCACUAUCUCUUCCACCACUGUCAUCCAUCAUGACCGAUCUGGGAGAUGAAACAGCACAGAUCUAAAGGACGCGAGAGACGUAGGGGCUGUGUUGACCAGGCUGGUCUCGAACUCUUGGCCUCAAGCCAUCCUCCCACCUCAGCCUCCCAAAGUGCUGGGAUUACAGGCUUGAGCCACCACAUCCAGCCUACCUAAAAUAUUGAAUGCUGUUAAUAAAUCUCCUGAGGCCAGCAUAAGAAGUUGAUGGGCAAAACUAAUGCAGGAGCUGAAAUCGACCGGGGUGUUCUUAUCCAACAGACAGCAGCAAAACUCUUUGUGUAUCUGCAUUCCUUUCAACAAAUGUGACUUCCUCAAUGGCAUCAUUCAUGAGCGUAACACAGAGCUCAGCAAUAACGUUUCUUCACUAACCCUACCAGGAAAAGAAGGGAAAAUGGCUUACUGGUUUAAAAAAGAGACAAGGGACAACAUACCGUUUAUGCAAAAUUUAGAAGCACUCAAAGGAAUCUCUGGAAAGUUCCUGAGACAUAUAUAGGGUUUCAAUUGUGCAAUUUCACCAUUAGCAAAGCUUUUUGCUGAAAUCUGGCUUUUCAAAGGGAGAGUAUCCAGAAACAGAAGAUGCUGAUCUGGGAGACUCUUCCUAAUAGAACUGCUGCUUCAGUUUAACUUGGAAAAGCCCACACCCAGUUCCUAAUGACAAACAUCUGAACACCGGGUCUUCCCACGAGCAAGACCAUGCUAUGCCUCCUGCUCAUUCUGUUCUAUAAGCAACCUACAGAUUGCUCCCUGUGAAGAGGAGCCUGCCAGGGGAGCAGCAUUCCACCAGACCCUGAUUUAGCAAGAUAUUUCUGUAUCAUUCCCCCAACCAGCUGGAAGUCCUCCACUGCUCUUGUGUGAAAAUCUAACUCAUCUCGCUGAAUUUCCUGAUUUAAAAGUCUAAUUCAUUUCACCAAAAGUGUGACAGAAGGAAACCAAGUACACCAUCUCUCCCUUACCAAACCAAAGCUAUUGCAUGUGCAUUCUGGGGGAAAAAAUGGUCCAAAUAUGCUAUGGAAGUGUUGCCAGACCAGUGUCAUCCUCUUAUUAUUGCCAUAGGACCUUGGCUGAUGGCAUCAGAGGAAAAACAAGUUUAUCGAUUACUUUCAGCCAUUAAGCUCACUCCUCCAUGAAAAAUAAGUCACAAGUCCAAUGUCUCUUAUUAAAAUAAGCACUGCAAAAUAUAAAGGAGUCACAGUUUUAAAAUGGGACACAAGUUCUCUAAGCAGUGAACCACUUUAGAGAUGCACUGUUUACAUUGUAUAAAGUCCCCUGGAGCCAGGGUUAGGAAGCGCAUCUGUUCUUUGGUGUUCUGGGAUGAAGGAGAAAGGAAAAAGGGCUGCCAGAAGUGAGUAGGAAGGAGCCCACGAGAUAAAGGAAGUAAAUCCAUUUGCUGAUUGCAAUAAUAAUGGUAAUACACGAAACUAUACAUACAUACAUACAUGCAAACUUUCACAUUUUUUAAAAAAAUAACUUAAGGCUUUCACACAUGUAAUCAGCCCUUUUGAACUCUCCCGAUUAGCUGCAAGGAAAAUCCUCCCUUCUCCUUUUUCUUGCACCAUCCUGGGCUCCCUUUUGACUUUUUUUUUUUUUUUUUAAACAUAUAAACGAUCAGCUCAUAUUCUGAAGUUAGUAGUCCCCCCCGCCCCCCCCCCCCACACCGCUCAUUUACAUUGGCAGCUGUCGUGCUGCUGGGCAUCCUCAAACCCACCAGUUUCCCUUUUAUGUUUGAGCAGACAAACAUGAUCAUGCACCAGGCAUCACUGUGCCAUUCAAAAUGCUUUUUUUUUUUAAUUGCAUCUGAGAGAAAUCUCAAUGUUGCAAACCUGGAGUCAGAAUUGUCUCCAUGUGUCUCAGUGGGAAGAGUAUCGUGUGAAGAAAUAAGUUGAUUCUACUAAUCAAAAGGAAUAUUUUUUUGAUAUCAGGUCAUCCUCCGAAUGAAUUUAUAUUACCUAGUGGAGGUUCACAUGAAGAAAAUGGUCAAAUAGCACCACCUACAGCAAGAGUUGAGAAGUGCAGCGGAGCCGGGCUGAGUCAGGAAAGAAAAGCAAGCUGGGGCCUGGCUCAGCGCUCUCCCCUCUGCUCCUGUCUGCACGGAAAGAUUAGGAUGACAGUGGCAGGAAGCCUGUGCACCUGGUAUGCAUCACUUGAAGGGAACACACAGAUUCCAGUAAACGGUUGGAAGGAAAUGUUAAUAUCAGGCUCUGCUAAACAAUAUGAAAUGACUCCUAGAUGAGACAAGUGACUUUCAUCAAAGUUUCCUGAUACCUGAAAAGAUAGCCCGGGGGAUCCUGCACUACAUCUGGUGUAUGUAAAUUAAGCGGUUUUUUUUUUCCCUUUGUAAUCAAGGCCCAUACACAAACAAAAUCACACUUUAGAAACGGC